rnacentral:rRNA from 1 species
UACGAAGGGGGCUAGCGUUGCUCGGAAUGACUGGGCGUAAAGGGCGCGUAGGCGGUUGGCACAGUCAGAUGUGAAAUUCCCGGGCUUAACCUGGGGGCUGCAUUUGAUACGUGUUGUCUAGAGUGAGGAAGAGGGUUGUGGAAUUCCCAGUGUAGAGGUGAAAUUCGUAGAUAUUGGGAAGAACACCGGUGGCGAAGGCGGCAACCUGGUCCUUGACUGACGCUGAGGCGCGAAAGCGUGGGGAGCAAACAGG